rnacentral:rRNA from 1 species
UCAGAAGUGCGAAUGCUGACAUAAGUAACGAUAAAGCGGGUGAAAAGCCCGCUCGCCGGAAGACCAAGGGUUCCUGUCCAACGUUAAUCGGGGCAGGGUGAGUCGACCCCUAAGGCGAGGCCGAAAGGCGUAGUCGAUGGGAAACAGGUUAAUAUUCCUGUACUUGGUGUUACUGCGAAGGGGGGACGGAGAAGGCUAUGUUGGCCGGGCGACGGUUGUCCCGGUUUAAGCGUGUAGGCUGGUUUUCCAGGCAAAUCCGGAAAAUCAAGGCUGAGGCGUGAUGACGAGGCACUACGGUGCUGAAGCAACAAAUGCCCUGCUUCCAGGAAAAGCCUCUAAGCAUCAGGUAACAUCAAAUCGUACCCCAAACCGACACAGGUGGUCAGGUAGAGAAUACCAAGGCGCUUGAGAGAACUCGGGUGAAGGAACUAGGCAAAAUGGUGCCGUAACUUCGGGAGAAGGCACGCUGAUAUGUAGGUGAAGUCCCUCGCGGAUGGAGCUGAAAUCAGUCGAAGAUACCAGCUGGCUGCAACUGUUUAUUAAAAACACAGCACUGUGCAAACACGAAAGUGGACGUAUACGGUGUGACGCCUGCCCGGUGC